CCUACGGGAGGCAGCAGUGGGGAAUCUUGCGCAAUGGGCGAAAGCCUGACGCAGCCAUGCCGCGUGAAUGAUGAAGGUCUUAGGAUUGUAAAAUUCUUUCACCGGGGACGAUAAUGACGGUACCCGGAGAAGAAGCCCCGGCUAACUUCGUGCCAGCAGCCGCGGUAAUACGAAGGGGGCUAGCGUUGCUCGGAAUUACUGGGCGUAAAGGGAGCGUAGGCGGAUAGUUUAGUCAGAGGUGAAAGCCCAGGGCUCAACCUUGGAAUUGCCUUUGAUACUGGCUAUCUUGAGUUUGGGAGAGGUGAGUGGAACUCCGAGUGUAGAGGUGAAAUUCGUAGAUAUUCGGAAGAACACCAGUGGCGAAGGCGACUCACUGGCCCAAUACUGACGCUGAGGCUCGAAAGCGUGGGGAGCAAACAGGAUUAGAUACCCUGGUAGUCCACGCCGUAAACGAUGAGUGCUAGUUGUCGGCAUGCAUGCAUGUCGGUGACGCAGCUAACGCAUUAAGCACUCCGCCUGGGGAGUACGGUCGCAAGAUUAAAACUCAAAUGAAUUGACGGCNGAGAGNGCGAGACGACGACGAGGGAGAGG
rnacentral:rRNA from 1 species